GUGGUGGUACUUCAGUGUUAGAAUUCCUGCCUUCCAUGCGGGAGACCUGGGUUCGAUUCCAGGCCAAGGCA
rnacentral:tRNA from 1 species